AAACACUAUACAAUUGUUAUCUUCUAAAGCUUCCAGUGCUUCACACUGGAUCCUUUCUUUUUGUAGUAUUUACUAGUUUAUUAUUCAGAUAUAUAGCAUUAUUUCUUCAGCACACAAGAACCUGGUCAAAUACCCAUGGAUUUAAUUUUGGUUUCAAAACUUAGCUAAUUGUUUGAAAAAAGAGAGAAUUUGUAAAGGGGAUAGAUAG
rnacentral:misc_RNA from 1 species